AUGCAGGGUCCUACCUGGUCCAGCUGCUUCUGGAUCUUGCUCUGCUGCUCUGUCACCAGCUUCAGCUUCUCAGCAUCGGCCUCGGGGAACUCCCGCCCGGCUUUCUUGGCCGUGCGCUGCUUGGCACACAGAGCCUUGCGGGACUUGCGAUGCGCCCCGAUCUGCUCCUCCAGCACCUUCAGCUGCAUCUGCAGCAGCUGCUGCGUGUGGAACAGCCACUCCUCGUACUGCCGCUGGUCGGCCUCGUCUGUGGGACGGGGAGAGGGCAUGGGUCAGUGGGGACCCCAGGUAAGCAGAGACCCCAGGUCAGCAGAGACCUCGGAUCAGCGGGGACCCCGGGUGAGCAAGGACCCCGGAUCAAUGGGGACCCUGGCCCCCAGGGGCAGGGUGAACCCCAUCCCUGCUGUGUCAGUACUCACUGAUGACGCCCUGUGCAAACGUGGGUGGGUUGGGGCGAGCCUGGGUGGGGUCUGUGCCGCUCCGCUCCUGGCAGAAAAGGGCAGCGUUGGGGACACACGCUGUGGACUUCUGUCCUCUCCCCACAGUCCCCACCCCCUCAGAGAGCCACAAAACCAUUGGCCGGAGCAGUUCUGGCAGCUCCAAGAGACCCCUGUAGCCCCUCUGGACACCCCACUCACCUGCCCGCUCCCCGCCAGUAAGUGGUUCUGCAUUUCGGAGACAGCCGGGCCCCCUGAGAGCCGCUGGGCCAGCAGGGAAACCUGUUGCCUUUGGGGGACACACACAGAGAUGGGGUGUGAGCCAGAGCCAAGGCAACCUGCCUGCCCCACCCUGUGCCCCCUACAUCCCCCAUUCCUGUUACCUGUUCAUGCCUGGAGCCACCCCUAUGCUGCCCUGAGCCAUCACCUUCUUGAUGCCCUUCAGUGCCACCAUCUUGGCCUUGGCAAUGGGGUCCAUGAUGUCCUCAGCCGCAAACUUGUCCAGGUCUGCUGGGAGAGAGACCACAGCAUGUUCAGCCCUACGUCCCCCACCCGAAAGGGCCCCGUGCUCCCCAGAACAAUCAUCCGCAGCCCCUACCUGUGUCCGGGAAGAAGCUGUUGGCCAGCUGCUGCUGCAUGA
rnacentral:lncRNA from 13 species